CCUACGGGAGGCAGCAGUGGGGAAUAUUGGGCAAUGGAGGAAACUCUGACCCAGCAACGCCGCGUGAAUGAUGAAGGUCUUCGGAUGGUAAAGUUCUUUUCUAAGGGAAGAAGAAAGUGACGGUACCUUAGGAAUAAGCCUCGGCUAACUACGUGCCAGCAGCCGCGGUAAUACGUAGGAGGCAAGCGUUAUCCGGAAUGAAUGGGCGUAAAGGGGGCGUAGGUGGUUUGACAAGUUGGUAGCGUAACUCCGGGGCUCAACCUCGGAACUACUACCAAAACUGUCGGACUUGUGUGCAGGAGGGGCAAAUGGAAUUCCUAGUGUAGCGGUGGAAUGCGUAGAUAUUAGGAGGAACACCAGUGGCGAAGGCGAUUUGCUGGACUGUAACUGACACUGAGGCACGAAAGCGUGGGGAGCAAACAGGAUUAGAUACCCCAGUAGUC
rnacentral:rRNA from 1 species